UGCAGAGAACAUUGUGGAUAAGCACCGUAAGCAUCUGGGUGCUUCGGUUUAGUUUAAUUUCACUCUUCAGAGAUGCAUUUAUGAUGUUUGGGAUGACUU